CUCUCUCUCUCUCUCCUAUUUCUCCCUCAAUCUCAUAUCCUCUUUCGAUACCAAAUCACUUUCAUUCUCCGAGAUCCUCACCGAUUUUCAUCGAUGGUAACCUCAACAAGAGCAUCCAGCCGCCGCAACAACAACAAAUGAGAUACUCGUUCCAUCCUUUAACAAGAUCCCUUUCACUCUAUCACAUCGAUAUGCGCCAUCACUCUCCGAUCUGCGCGGUCGCUAAUCUUCAUCGUGUUUUCUCAAUGCAUCAUCGUCAAUCUAAUCUUCUAUUCUUCGGUAUUGUCUAAAAUUAUGAGUAAUUUUGGAUUUGUGAUAUGUUCUUCAAUUGUAUUUGAUUGCUUGAUUAAACUUUAAUUUGAAUUCAUAUUGCCUGUUUAAAUUAUAGAUAAUUGACAUAAUUUCAAUUGUUUAUCUCUAAUAAUUUGGCAAUAGUGUAGUAGAUAAUUGAUUUUCUCUACUAAAUGCAUAUCAAUGUCGUUAACGAAAUAAUGGGAAACCCUAAUGGCCAUCCAAUAUAAAAUAGGUUAUGGUCCCCAAUACACCGUACACAACGAUAUUCUCUCUUCUCCCCAUCUGAAGAGAACUUGAGGCAUAAAAGUAUCGGUUGAGGAAGAACCAAAUCAGCCGCCACUAACCCUGUUUUGUGGUUCAGAUCAUCACAUCUCCUCUUUGUUUAUGGUUGUUACUGAGAGAGCUGUCAUGAAUGUUUUAUCUAGGUAUUCCUAAUACCCUAAUUCUUAAUAUCCUUGAUAAAUCAAACAUGUCGUAGAUCCGAUCAUAAUGUUUUAUUUGCUUCCGCUAUUGAUUUAUAAUUGUUGAACAUGUUCUAUCAAAUCUAUUUUUAUUUAGACCUAAAUUUCUAACAUUUUUUUCUAUGAUUUUGUUUGAAUUUGAAUUCAUUGAUUAUUGUUUAGGUUCAGGUUUUUGUGAAAUUAAUUAAUUAAGAAUUAAUUUUGUGGAUUUGAUUGAUUCUAGAGCUUGAUGUACUAACUUUGCAAUGGUGCUGCUUUCUGACAUAGCCAUGGAAUCUUGCACAGGUAUGCAAUUGAUUAUGUUUUAAUUGUUGUUGUUGAUUAAUAUUGUAAAUCAAGAAGAGACCAAAUAAGAGGAAGGAAGUCUCUAAGAAUGAGUUUGACUAUGAUGCUGAGCAAGAUAUCUUGAUAUCAUGCCCCCCUUAAGAAAAGACAUACAUUUACAAUUCAUUUAUUGAUAUUUUAAAACUUUUUAUAUAUCAUACACACCUUUUUUAUUUCAAUUAUCCUUUUGUGUUAUAUGUCAUACAAAUACAUUGACCAACAUAAUUUAUAUAUAUUAUCUUUCAAAGAAUAUUUUUUCAUUCAAAAAAUAAUAAUUUUUAUAUAUUAAUUACUUAAUAUAAGCAAAAGCUUUUUGGGUAAAUAAGGUAGUUUUUUUUUCUCUUUCUAAUAGGAAGGUAACUUUUUAAGUUUAAAGAAAUUAUUAAAUUUUGAGAAUCUGAUAUUUUUCUCUUCAUGUAAAGUAAUUUUUUUGGGUACAAUGUGUUUGGACUGCUUAUGUGUAAAUAUGUUGAUUUAUGCAUAAUUAUACUCAUCUAUAAAUAUGUGUAUGUUUGUGUGCAUAGACACUUGUGUAUCCAAAUUUAAACAAUGGAUCAGAGAAAUACAAGGGCUAAUAUAUGUAUUUUGUGUUGACAUAUAAGAAGAAGGUAUGACGCUGAUUGCGAAUUCGGUCAAUAUUUUUUGACCAAUAGAAAUGUUGACUUUCAGAGUGUCAUUCAAAUUCUGACCUUAAGUCGACUGAUGAGAAUCAUGCGAUAAAUAUAACUGAUUUAAAGACAAGUUGUUGCCGAUUCCCUUCUCACUGAAGGAGAAGCUUGGCGAAUUAGUCCAGAUCGGGGUUUUCUUGGACACCAAUUGGAGCUGGGUUCCCAAUAAAACAUCUCUUUGAAUGAAAUAGAUAUUGCUAGAAGAGUUUUAGAUUUUUUCAUUGAUAAUGCAAAUUCAAAUAAUGCACGUUCUUCAAUGCCUUCUAGCACUGAAAUUCCUAACUUUAACUUGGAUAUAUGGGUAAAUUUUCAUUCUAGAACGCAUGGAAAAAGGUGCAUUGUUUGAAUUUGCAUUAUCAAUGCAAAAAGCUAAAAGUCUUCUAGAAAUAUCUAUUUCAUUCAAAGCGGGGUUUAAUUGGGCACCUGGCUCCUAUUGGUGUCCAAGAAAACCCAAUCUACGUUAAUUCGUCAAGAUUCUCCUUCAGUGAGAAGGGAAUCGGCAACAUGUUAUCUUUAAAUUGGUUUUAUUGAUCGCAUGAUUCUCAUUAGGGGACUUAACUAAAAAAUCUGAAUGAUACCCUGAAAGUCAACAUAUCUAUUGGUCGAAAAAUAUUGACCGAAUUCACAAAAAGCGACAUGCCUUCUUCUUAUAUGUCGACACAAAAGACAUAUAUUAGCCAUUGUAUUUCUAUGAUCCAUUGUUUAAAUUUGGAUACACAAGUGUCUAUGCACACAAACAUACACAUAUUUAUAGAUGAGUAUAAUUAUGCAUAAAUCAACAUAUUUACACAUAAGCCGUCCAAAUACAUUGUACCGGAAAAAAAUUACUUUUUAUGAAGGGAAAAAUAUCGGAUUCUCAAAAUUUAAUAAUUUCUUUAAACUAAAAAGUUACCUUCCUAUUAGGAAAAAAAACUACCUUCUUUACCAAAAAAGCUUUUGUUGAUAUUAAGUAACUAAUAUAUAAAAAUUAUUAUUUUUUGAAUGAAAAAAUAUUUUUGAAAGAUAAUAUAUAUAAAUUAUGAUGGUCAAUGUAUUUGUAUGACAUAUAACACAAAAGGAUAAUUCAAAUAAAGGUGUGUAUAAUAUAUAAAACAUUAUAAAAAAUCAAUAAUGCAGAUAUUUUUUCUUGGACACCAAUUGGAGUUGGGUGCCCAAUUAAACAUCUCUUUGAAUGAAAUAGAUAUUGCUAGAAAACUUUUAACUUUUUUCAUUGAUAAUGCAAAUUCAAAUAAUGCACUUUUUGCUAUGCCUUAUAGGACUCAAAUUCCUGACUUUAACUUGGAUAUAUGGGUAAAUUACUUAGCGACAUCAGUUUUGUACUCGUUGUCCACAACCAAUAGUCCAUCGUAAAUCUUGUCCUUUUAUUUGAUUUAUUUGAAAAACGAAUGUAACAAGAUUCAUGUUCUUAUAAAACAUUUUGUUGCAGGACUUAUUUUGUCAUAACUUCUAAAAUGAUUAAAAAUUCAUCAGUCAUUUCCUAAAGGCAUUCUUCCCCAAAACGAUGAUCAGAUAUAUGUAACAUAUAUUCCUAGGAACUAGAAGAUUUUAACUAGCAAAGGGACAUGAUAAGAAAUUAUUUUUUUGCAAGUUGAAGAACAAUAGAAGAGAGAAAAUAAAUUAUAUGUAACCUAUAUACUUGGAGUUUGCUGUAAUUUUUAUACUCUUAAGGUUAAUGGCAUUCAAAGUAAUUUCUAAA
rnacentral:lncRNA from 1 species